GGGGGCGUAUUAGAUUCGACAAACCUGAUGGAUUCUGAACUGCAAGCAGUGGAAGCUUGGUCACCACUUAAAUAAUCAAAGCAAAACGAAACGAUAACGUAGUUUCAUUAUUUGGCGUAAAGGCUCCUGCUUUCGCAUUAGCCGCCUAGUUUCUAGGUUGCCAAACAGAGCGCAAGUGUGACUACCAACCCAUGCUCUGAACAAAACCCGGUAGUACGAGUCAAUAAGUUUCUUGGUUUAGUAAUUGACUUAAAAUUAAAAUCAAAACACCGGCGGUAGCCUGACCCACUGAUCAGCGGUUCUGAUCAAAUUUCAGGACAAGCUUGUAGAUGUUUAGAACUGGUCAUUUUUGGACAGGAGGGGCAGUUCCUCCUCGCCUCCAAAA
rnacentral:tmRNA from 1 species